UACGAGAGGCCCAAACGUUAUUCGGAAUUACUGGGCGUAAAGGGCUCGUAGGCGGCCAACUAAGUCGGAUGUGAAAUCCCCAGGCUUAACCUGGGAAUUGCAUCCGAUACUGGAUGGCUUGAAUCCGGGAGAGGGAUGCGGAAUUCCAGGUGUAGCGGUGAAAUGCGUAGAUAUCUGGAGGAACACCGGUGGCGAAGGCGGCAUCCUGGACCGGCAUUGACGCUGAGGAGCGAAAGCCAGGGGAGCAAACGGG
rnacentral:rRNA from 1 species